rnacentral:rRNA from 1 species
GAUGAACGCUGGCGGCGUGCCUAAUACAUGCAAGUCGAGCGAACAGACGAGGAGCUUGCUCCUCUGACGUUAGCGGCGGACGGGUGAGUAACACGUGGAUAACCUACCUAUAAGACUGGGAUAACUUCGGGAAACCGGAGCUAAUACCGGAUAAUAUAUUGAACCGCAUGGUUCAAUAGUGAAAGACGGUUUUGCUGUCACUUAUAGAUGGAUCCGCGCCGCAUUAGCUAGUUGGUAAGGUAACGGCUUACCAAGGCAACGAUGCGUAGCCGACCUGAGAGGGUGAUCGGCCGCACUGGAACUGAGACACGGUCCAGACUCCUAAGGGAGGCAGCAGUAGGGAAUCUUCCGCAAUGGGCGAAAGCCUGACGGAACAACGCCGCGUGAGUGAUGAAGGUCUUCGGAUCGGAAAACUCUGUUAUUAGGGAAGAACAAAUGUGGAAGUAACUAUGCACGUCUUGACGGUACCUAAUCAGAAAGCCACGGCUAACUACGUG